rnacentral:rRNA from 1 species
GACGAACGCUGGCGGCGUGCUUAACACAUGCAAGUCGAACGGAACGUCCCUGCUUUUUUGCGGUGCUCGAGUGGCGACCUGGUGACUAACACUUGAGUUCCCUGCCCUUUACUUUGGGAUAACUUCAUGAAACUGGGUCUAAUACCGGAUAGGAUCUCCUGCUGCAUGGUGGUCGUUGGAUAGUUUCGGCGGUUGGGGAUGGACUCGCGUCGUAUCAGCUUGUUGCUGGGGUAGUGUCUUACCAAGGCUUUGACCGGUAGCCGGCCUGAGAGGCUGACCGGCUACAUUGGGACUGAGAUGCGGCACAGACUACUACGGGAGGCAGCAGUGGGGAAUAGUGCACAAUGGGAGGAAGCAUGAUGCAGCAACGCCGCGUGGGGGAUGAGGGCCUUCGGGUUGUAAACCGCUGUCGCCUGUGACGAAGCGUGAGUGACGGUAAUGGGUAAAGAAGCACCGGCUAACUACGUG